rnacentral:lncRNA from 1 species
CCAUCUUGAGUCAGUUUUUAUAUAAGGAGACAGAUGAGGAUCCAGUUUUAGUCUUCUAUAUGUGGCUUGCUAAUUAUCCCAGCACCAUUUGUUGAAUAGGGUGUCCUCUCCCCACUUUACGUUUUUGUUUGCUUUGUUGAAGAUGGCCUUAUAGUAUAGUUUGAAGUCAGGUAAUGCGAUGAAUCCAGGUCUGUUCUUUUUGCUUAGUCUUGCUUUAGCUAUGUGAGCUCUUUUUUUGGUUCCAUAUGAAUUUUAGGAUUAUUUGUUUAUGCAUGUAAAGGUGUUCAUAGUGGUCUUGAAUAAUCUUUUGUAUUUCUGUAGUAUCAGUUGU